UAUUGGUGAUGUGGGUAAUUCCCAAGAUAAAACUUAAAUCUCUUCAUGCAUGAUAUAGGUUCUCAUUUGACUUUUGUUUGAAACUUGGGAUCUCACUCCUCAACCU
rfam:Capsicum annuum cultivar Zunla-1 chromosome 11, whole genome shotgun sequence